rnacentral:rRNA from 1 species
GCGGCCUAUCAGCUUGUUGGUGAGGUAAUGGCUCACCAAGGCAACGACGGGUAGCCGGCCUGAGAGGGCGACCGGCCACACUGGGACUGAGACACGGCCCAGACUCCUACGGGAGGCAGCAGUGGGGAAUAUUGGGCAAUGGAGGAAACUCUGACCCAGCGACGCCGCGUGCGGGAUGAAGGCCUUCGGGUUGUAAACCGCUUUUAGUAGGGAAGAAGCGAAAGUGACGGUACCUACAAAAGAAGCACCGGCUAACUAUGUGCCAGCAGCCGCGGUAAUACAUAGGGUGCAAGCGUUGUCCGGAAUUAUUGGGCGUAAAGAGCUCGUAGGUCGUUUGUUACGUCGGAUGUGAAAACCUGAGGCUCAACCUCAGGCCUGCAUUCGAUACGGGCAAACUAGAGUUUGGUAGGGGAGACUGGAAUUCCU